rnacentral:rRNA from 1 species
UACGUAGGGGGCAAACGUUGUUCGGAAUUACUGGGCGUAAAGGGCGCGUAGGCGGCAUGGCAAGUCGGGAGUGAAAGCCCGGGGCUCAACCCCGGAGGGUCUCUCGAAACUGCCGAGCUAGAGUGCGGAAGAGGCAAUCGGAAUUCCCAGUGUAGCGGUGAAAUGCGUAGAUAUUGGGAAGAACACCGGAGGCGAAGGCGGAUUGCUGGGCCGACACUGACGCUGAGGCGCGAAAGCCAGGGGAGCAAACGGG